rnacentral:lncRNA from 1 species
UGCUGCCAGGUGUGCAUCUCCAUGACCCCAGCGUGUGCCCUCGGGCAGGCAAGCUCCUUAGCCUCUCUGUGCCUUAUCUUCCUCAUCUGUCAGAAGGGGCUCUAAAAAUGAGUUAACUUACACUGCAUGCUUAGAGUGGUAGCAGACACUCAAAUAUAUUUACCAUUGAAAAAAAUUAUUCUCAGCAUCUCAGCAAAGAGUAAAUAUUUCCUAAAUGAACGUCUGAGUGAAUUAUUGUCGGAUUCUUAUACCCCCUGAGUCACCCCCUGCAACGUUUGCUAGCGAGCUGGCGCGUUCACGGUGGUGGUGAAGCGAACAUCUAAUGUUAGCAGACUUGUGUUCUGGUCCCAGACCUGCUGCUAACUGGACAUAGGCCCUUAGGUGAGUCAUUCACCCUUUGUAACCCUUGGUUCCAAAUCUUCAAAUAUGGCAAUCAGUGGUUCCUUUUAGAUCUACAAUGCUGACCCAGUCCUCAACACCUGCCUGCUUUUGGUGUCAGGUGGACAGGAGGGAGCCUGCCUGCAGGUGCCGGCCAGAAGCCUGCAGAACAGAUCGCCAAGACUGGUCUCUGAACGGUGCUGCAGGGACUGCUUGGGCAGCUGCCCCGUCACUGCCGAAGGCGUCACAGGAGGAGUGAUGCUGAUGUCCAGGCCGCUGUCCAGAUGUUCAAGCAGAAUGCCGCUGAAAGAUGUGAGCCGCUCUUCCCCACGGAGCUUCCCUGAAGAGCAGGGCCUGAUUGUCUAGAGGUAUCCAUCUCUCUGGCAGCAAAACAAGCUCUUCAGACCAGAAGAGUGUUCUCUGCAAAUUAAAGUAAUUCAUUGUGCAUCUGUAGUCAAAUACACACCUGCACCCUUUUAUUAAUAUGGGCUCUGCUUUAAUUGGCUUUCUCUCUAGUUAAUCGCCUGUCAGGGUUACUCAUUGCACAGAGGGCUUUUGCCUCGCCAAGUCCACAGCGCUGCAGGUUGUGCACUCAGCCAAGUGUGGGCCAUGGGGCCAGCUGGGGUCUUGAAUGGGCUCUGGGAGGUGUUCGCCUUGGAGUGGCCCAGGAGGUACUGGAGGGAGAGGAGCAGAAGCGUGAUGAGACUCGUUUGUUGAACUCCUCCGCCAGCAGCCAAGCUUUGUGGAACAUCUUUUCUUUGUGUGUGAGUGUGUUUCAGUAAAUCUUUAUUUACAAAAACACAGAAUGGGACCGAUCUGGCCUGCGGGUGGCAGUUUGCUGACCCUUGAUGUAGACUGGAAGUCGCAACCGUGUUUUACCGUCACGUCUGCUCCGCAUGACACUGUGUGGCUGCCUCACUGAGGCUGGCUCAGGAAAUGCUUGCUGAAGCGUACUGAGGACCCAUCGUACAGCCGCAGGCGCCAGGAGAUUUUGUUAAAAAUAACAGCUGGGAGAAGAUCCGUCUAGUAUUUCCUAGGGAGCUUACCAUUUUCCUACGUUGAGCAUAGAGAAUGUUUCUCAUUAUUACUAUUGUUCAUCAUAAUACUGUGCUGAGCUCCUUCCUAAGGAAGCUGUUGGCCUCAUUUCGCAUCAUUUCCUUAGCAUAAAUUCUUAGAGGAAGGCUUUGUGGGGUCACGCCCUCUGUACAGUUAAUCGCACCAUGGAACACCCUUCCCCAGCUAGGAGCUGGCUAUCCCGG